rnacentral:rRNA from 1 species
AUUGAACGCUGGCGGCAGGCCUAACACAUGCAAGUCGAACGAGUGGCGGACGGGUGAGUAAUGUCUGGGAAACUGCAUGAUGGAGGGGGAUAACUACUGGAAACGGUAGCUACUACCGCAUACCAUCGGAUGUGCCCAGAUUGGAUUAGCUAGUAGGUGGGGUAAAGGGUCACCUAGGCGACGCUCCCUAGCUGGUCUGAGAGGAUGACAAGCCAAACGGGAACUUGGACACGGUCCAGACUCCUACGGUAGGCAGCAGUGGGGAAUAUUGCACAAUGGGCGCAAGCUGGAUGCAGACAGGCCGCGUGGAUGAAGAAGUCCUUCGGGUUGUAAAGUACUUUCAGCGGGGAGGCGUUACCCGCAGAAGAAGCACCGGCUAACUCCGUGCCAGCAGCGGCGGUAAUAC